GGUGGCUCAGUGGUAGAGUGCUUGCCUUGUAUCCAUGAGGCCCUGGGUUCGAUUCCUCAGCACCA
rnacentral:tRNA from 1 species